ACGUAGGUGGCAAGCGUUGUCCGGAAUUAUUGGGCGUAAAGAGCAUGUAGGCGGGCUUUUAAGUCCGACGUGAAAAUGCGGGGCUUAACCCCGUAUGGCGUUGGAUACUGGAAGUCUUGAGUGCAGGAGAGGAAAGGGGAAUUCCCAGUGUAGCGGUGAAAUGCGCAGAUAUUGGGAGGAACACCAGUGGCGAAGGCGCCUUUCUGGACUGUGUCUGACGCUGAGAUGCGAAAGCCAGGGUAGCAAACGG
rnacentral:rRNA from 1 species